ACGAACGCUGGCGGCGUGCUUAACACAUGCAAGUCGAACGGAAAGGCCCUGCUUGUGUGGGGUGCUCGAGUGGCGAACGGGUGAGUAACACGUGAGUAACCUGCCCUUGACUUUGGGAUAACUUCAGGAAACUGGGGCUAAUACCGGAUAGGAGCUCCUGCUGCAUGGUGGGGGUUGGAAAGUUUCGGCGGUUGGGGAUGGACUCGCGGCUUAUCAGCUUGUUGGUGGGGUAGUGGCUUACCAAGGCUUUGACGGGUAGCCGGCCUGAGAGGGUGACCGGCCACAUUGGGACUGAGAUACGGCCCAGACUCCUACGGGAGGCAGCAGUGGGGAAUAUUGCACAAUGGGCGGAAGCCUGAUGCAGCAACGCCGCGUGCGGGAUGACGGCCUUCGGGUUGUAACCCGCUUUCGCCUGUGACGAAGCGUGAGUGACGGUAAUGGGUAAAGAAGCACGGGCUAACUACGUG
rnacentral:rRNA from 1 species